rnacentral:lncRNA from 1 species
CCUACCCCUACUAACUCUCUCCCCCAGCUCUUACCCCUACUAACUCUCUUCACCAGCUCCUACCCCUACUAACUCUCUCCCCCUGCUCCUACCCCUACUAACUCUCUCCCCAGCUCCUACCCCUACUAACUCUCUCCCCCUGCUCCUACCCCCUACUAACUCUCUCCCCCUGCUCUUACCCCUACUAACUCUCUCCCCCAGCUCCUACCCCUACUAACUCUCUCCCCCAGCUCCUACCCCUACUAACUCUCUCCCCCAGCUCCUACCCCUACUAACUCUCUCCCCCUGCUCCUACCCCUACUAACUCUCUCCCCCUGCUCCUACCCCUACUAACUCUCUUCCCCUGCUCCUACCCCUACUAACUCUCUCCCCAGCUCCUACUAACUCUAAAUAACUCUCUCCCCCAGCUCCUACCCCUACUAACUCUCUCCCCCUGCUCCUACCCCUACUAACUCUCUCCCUGUAUAAUACUAGUUGAGACACCCUGAGCAAAAGCUGUCUCAUUUCAAAGGAGCAUUAGUGAAAUCUACAUCUUUGUCUGAGAGGGUAUGAAAUAAUCAUUGUGUGACCAAAAUUAUUACUUCACAGUGCCCUAAGAUGUAAUACAUGUUUAAUCAAGGCGAGCUUGUAUGGGUGAGUUACCACUGUGAUUUGAGAUGCUCUCUUAUUAAGAGCUUCUUGUGAUGGGAGGCAGAGUUGCUGGGAAACUGCUUUUCAAUUCCAAUCUGGGAGAGAAAGAGCAAUGGGGGGAAGGUAACAUAUCGGAACUCUAGGUUUAAACCAAGCCGGUUACAAAACUAAGUUCCAAUUUCCUCUCCUGGCCACAAUGAAACCAUUUUUGUUUUAUGAUUGGUAACAGUCUUGUAGUGAAAGCCAUUCUUACUGUAGUUGAAACCAUAUUUGGAUUAAGAGACCAACCGAAAAACCGAUUUCAGCAUCCCUCCCACACCUAAUAGCAAACUGGAUGCUGAUUGGAUGGCAUCUGCUCUACAGGUCCCAAUUGCAGCAUGUUAGAUAGAUCUACAAGGGGUUUAGGGUUGUAGAGGGGGGAAGGGUGUGGUUCCAAUCUAAACCAAUUAGACAAUAAACUCAGCUUGUGAGAGGCCCCAGCCUAGGGGAAGGGCCCAUCUGAGAGAGAUUAGCCAGGGAUUUAAUGAACAUCAUGAUCAAAGCCAUGACCACCUGUGUGUGGAAGCGUGAGCUAAACAGGCAACUGUACCCAACAUGGGAAUAAAGAACCAAAAUGACUAAGCAAGGACUGAGUCUGGAUACAUGGCUAUAGUGGUGUUGUACAUAGGCAGGGAGGGCAAAGAUACAGUAUAUGGCAAUAUGCUUGUCAAAUAGAAAUGUUUGUGUUUCUUAAAUAAAUGCGCAAAAUAGAGAUUGCUCUGGUACAGGCUUCGAUCACAGCACCCUGAGAAAAAAAUUAAUGAAAAUAGAAAAAACAUUUGAACAAAACAGUAAUAUUAUUCCAGUACGAUGGAAAGGCAUAGCACAUUCCGUCAAUCAAAGAUCUCGGUCAAAGGGUCGAAACCAGCCUCGCGCUAAACAGUCAGAGAAGAGAGCACUAUUGGUAGGCAGAACAUGGUGGUAUAUUUACUGAGCUGACAGCAUGUCUCUGCUUGAAAAAGUGUUUUUGGUCUAAUUGAACUGUCCUCCUUGCUACCACUGCCUAUAAUUGGGAUUUGUCUUGUGUAUAGAAAUGUAUAGAAAUGUAUGUGAGUAACCCAGACUACAAACAAGAGGUCAUAUGUUUCUCCUUUCUCUCUUCCCUUUCGUUCCUUGCUUCCUGGCAGCAUUGUAGAGUAGGUUAUUAUUUGGCACUUCAUUAAAAGGCGAGGGAGUCUGUUGUUCAAAAGCAGACCAGACCAGUCCUGCCAGUUAACAGUCGUGUAGAGCAGCUGCUGGGGGCCAGGGAUUGGGAAUGGGAUUUUGGAUCACAGGACUCUUAUCCCAGGUGGGACACGGUGUCUGUAACCUUGGGAAAAUUGCUUAACCCCCUUAAAGAGCUUUGGAUUAAAGAACCUCCCAGGUGAAAUAAUUACUGUGAUGCUUACAGCAGAUUGUUUUGAUUAUAUGUGCUGUUUCGAACGGUUAAAUUGAAACCUCACUCUGGUCCAAUUUUUGUUAACUUUUCAUAUUUAGCCAAAAUUAACAUCAAAUAAAAAGUUAAUGAUUUUGGCCUUUCUCUUGUUUCUAUAAGGAAAACCUCAGAUUGACUUUUGCUGCAGAUACUGUAGGUGACAAUAUCUUGGGUGAAUUUGCUAACCUGGCUUCAAUGGAUCUGCCAAACUCGAAACAUAUAGAAGUCAACUUUGGAUCUCUGCCACUGCCUUUCCUCACUAUCAUCACCUGUUCAUUAGUAAAGCCAGAAGUAGCUGCACAGUAAUGGAACUAACGACUGUGGUCACCUUGGAUCUGAGAGGAUGGGAAUAGCACACCAUGGAGAAGUGACUGAGGCUUUACGUCUAAGACUGGAACCAUGCUCCCCGUCAACCACCACACGUCAUGCAAAGUGUGCGACACAGAGGAGACCAGCUACUGUAUGACAGGGCUCUAGAAAGCAAAUGAUCAAAAACACUUGGGGGUGGGGGUGGGGUCGGGGGGACAGAGAUAGGGAGCAAGGGAGUGAGUGAGAGAUGGAGAAAUAGAAUCUGAUAACUUGGGCUCAGUACCCCCCCACCCCCCUUUCCCUCCCCCAAUUCUUCUUAGAGUUGAGGGUGAUAGACUUGUCCUGAUUGUUUUGUGGACAGAAAAAAGUUGCUUGAAGAACCAGCAGGUGCUAUAGGACAUCACUCUUCAGGAUCUUCACAUUCAUUUCUGCACUCCCCUCUGGCUCUUCGGUAGUCGCUAGCUGAUAUACUGUAGUGGUGUGUGUGUGUGUGUGUGUGUGUGUGUGUGUGUGUGUGUGUGGAUGGGAGGGAGGGAGGGAGGGAGAGAGAGAGAGAGAGAGAGAGGGAGGGAGAGAGAGAGAGAGGGAGAGCGGCUGAGCGAGCAAGGGUGAGAGAGAGGGGGAGAGAAAGAGACUGUUUGCUCCUCUGUGAGUGUGAGUGAGUGCGUGCCUGGCUGCCUGCCUGGUGUGUGUGUGUGUGUGUGUGUGUGUGUGUGUGUGUGUGUGUGUGUGUGUGUGUGUGUGUGUGUGUGUGUGUGUGUGUGUGUGUGUGUGUGUGUGUGUGU